rnacentral:rRNA from 1 species
AUUGAACGCUGGCGGCAGGCCUAACACAUGCAAGUCGAGCGGAUGAAGGGAGCUUGCUCCUGGAUUCAGCGGCGGACGGGUGAGUAAUGCCUAGGAAUCUGCCUGGUAGUGGGGGAUAACGUCCGGAAACGGGCGCUAAUACCGCAUACGUCCUGAGGGAGAAAGUGGGGGAUCUUCGGACCUCACGCUAUCAGAUGAGCCUAGGUCGGAUUAGCUAGUUGGUGGGGUAAAGGCCUACCAAGGCGACGAUCCGUAACUGGUCUGAGAGGAUGAUCAGUCACACUGGAGCGGAGACACGGUCCAGACUCCUACGGGAGGCAGCAGUGGGGAAUAUUGGACAAUGGGCGAAAGCCUGAUCCAGCCAUGCCGCGUGUGUGAAGAAGGUCUUCGGAUUGUAAAGCACGUUAAGUUGGGAGGAAGGGCAGUAAGUUAAUACCUUGCUGUUUUGACGUUACCAACAGAAUAAGCACCGGCUAACUUCGUG